AGAGUUUGAUCCUGGCUCAGAAUGAACGCUGGCGGCGUGCUUUACACAUGCAAGUCGAGCGAGGCGUCCCGCAAGGGAUAGUCGAGCGGCGAACGGGUGAGUAACGCGUGGAUAACCUGCCCUGAGGUGGGGGAUAACCAAGGGAAACUUUGGCUAAUACCGCAUGAUACCGAGAGGUCAAAGGGGGCUCGCAAGGGCUCUCGCCAUAGGAGGGGUCCGCGUACGAUUAGCUAGUUGGUAGGGUAAUGGCCUACCAAGGCGACGAUCGUUAGCCGGCCUGAGAGGGUGAUCGGCCACACUGGAACUGAGACACGGUCCAGACUCCUACGGGAGGCAGCAGUGGGGAAUUUUGCGCAAUGGGGGAAACCCUGACGCAGCAACGCCGCGUGGAGGAUGAAGGUCCUUGGAUUGUAAACUCCUGUCAGCAGGGAAAAAGCAACUUGACCUCAUACGUCAGGGAGUUGAUUGUACCUGCAGAGGAAGCCCCGGCUAACUCUGUGCCAGCAGCCGCGGUAAUACAGAGGGGGCAAGCGUUAUUCGGAAUUAUUGGGCGUAAAGGGCGCGUAGGCGGCUUGGCAAGUGGAAGGUGAAAUCCCUCGGCUUAACCGAGGAACUGCCCUCCAAACUGCUUCGCUUGAGACCGGGAGAGGUGAGUGGAAUUCCCAGUGUAGCGGUGAAAUGCGUAGAUAUUGGGAGGAACACCAGUGGCGAAGGCGGCUCACUGGACCGGUACUGAGCUGAUGCGCGAAAGCGUGGGGAGCAAACGGGAUUAGAUACCCCAGUAGUCC
rnacentral:rRNA from 1 species